rnacentral:rRNA from 1 species
UACGAGGGGGGCAAGCGUUGUUCGGAAUUAUUGGGCGUAAAGGGUGCGUAGGCGGUUUGAUAAGUCAUCUGUGAAAUCUCUGGGCUCAACCCAGAGUCUGCAGGCGAAACUGGCGAACUGGAGUGUGGCAGAGGGGGGUGGAAUUCCGAGUGUAGAGGUGAAAUUCGUAGAUAUUCGGAAGAACACCAGUGGCGAAGGCGACUCACUGGACACGUAUUGACGCUGAGGUGCGAAAGCGUGGGGAGCAAACAGG